AGCUGGUCUGAAGGUAGUGAGUGACCUCACGUGAUUGUUCACAGUCAGUGACAGGUCGAACUCCUUGUUCCUUUCUUCCCCCCCUUCUCGCUACUGCACUUGACUAAAAA
ensembl:misc_RNA Y_RNA Y RNA